UGGGUUUUCCUCACCAAAACUGUGGUGUAGGUCUGUGAACUUGUGUUGCAGGUGGCCCUGGGAGCAAAUUGUCACUUGGCACUAGCAGAUGUGACAAACAGCAUUAGAAAGAUGGGGUGAAGCCAGGAAGCAUUUGAAAGUGUUUAGACGGGUGUUUAUUGUAGUAGUACAAAAACAUGAUUUUCAAUUGAAAUACAGGUUUAUUCCUGGCUUCUUUUUCUCUAAAGGAAAAUGCCAUUAUAGGCAUUUGCCUGCCAGGCUGCAAGGUUGAGAUCCUCUGAAAAAAUCCCAGCUGAAUACAGUGUCACUAUUGCAGAGCUGAUGAUUUUUGCCUGCUAUUCCUAUAGAAAACUAAUGGGUGGGGUUUUGUUGUGUGGAUAGAAUUAAGAGACUAGAACCUGUGGAACCUUCUUAAAGUGAAAGGCUACAAGUUCAGGGGUGGUGACAAGCUUGAGAGGGAAGGGUUAAAAACACUGUCUAGUUGGAGGCAGCCCUGGCUUUCCUGCAUACUUGUAUCAACAGGUUGGGCAUGACCAAUACCCGGAUAAUGAAAUCACUCACCAGUAUCUCCCCGUCACCUUGGUGAUGUGGUUGUAGGACUUUGCAAGUUGUACCUCCCUGGUAGUCACUUACCUGUUGCAGUGGGACGUGGGUGCUUGUACUGUGGGUAGGAGUUUGAGCCGGCUUUGCCUUUCUGAGCAGAAUUCCUGCUUGUGCAGGGAAUGAGAAGCCUUGCUCUUUCCCAGGAGUGUGUCACAGCUGCAAUGUUGAGAAAUGCUGUGGCCCCUUAACAAAGUGUACAAGAGAGCUCCCUGCAGCAUGGGCAGGCACCACCUUCUGAUUCUCUGAGGCUGAUUCUUAGCUAGUGUAGGUCAGCAGGAUUCACCAAAAUAAUCAGUUGCUCUGUGCUGAUCGUCCACAGCUGUGGCUUUGCAGAUCUGGGUUGAUACCAAUACCAGAAGGUUUCUGUGUGAGGUAUGUGUUGCAUGGUGUUGGCUGCUACCAGCUGUGACGAGGUGAAGUUUAAUUCAGGGUGUAGUUAAGUUUCAUUUUAGAGCAGACUUAAUUGUAAUUGCAGGCUGCCACCAAAGGGGAUGAUCUUUUUUUUUCACCCCAAGAACUAGUGACUAGCAAGACAGACCUAUUCUUUCCCAUAGGGAAACUAGGAAAUAAAUCCACCCAAAAAAACAAUUUUUCAUAGGGUCAGUGAACUGAUGAUGUUAUAGCAAAGCUGUGUGAUGGUAGAUUUGGGGUAAACAUGGUGGGAGUGUGCAGAGAGUGAAAAUGUUCUUGUAUGUAGUAGCCCACAGGUGGAUCAGAUUAAGUGUAUUAUAAAGUGGUACCCUAAUAUUCAGAUAUGGAGGAGGCUUGUAGAAGCCCUGAGGCCACCACUAACUAUGAAAUUCCUGGCACUGAGUUCCACUUCUCACCCUAUUUUCACACAAAUUGCUGUUUCCAUCUCGGAUUGUUAACUGAGGAUUCCACCAGAUAGUACUAAAAAUGAGUGUUCGUUUUGUGAGUAUUUCUUUAGGGAAGGAAAAAGCCUGACUUAGAAUUUUCCUGACUCUUUGAAUUUAUUGCCGCUGCUAUCUGAUUAAAAGUAACAAGUACAUCUUCAAAAGACAACUUGGUGUUCAGAUACCAUCUGCUCAAAGCUUCAAAGAGACUCCUGGCACCUGGAAAGGAAACAGUAAGUGUUGGGCGAUUGCCCUCACUUGCUUCAUACCAUACAGUCUCUCUGUUUAAAACCCUCAGCGUGAAUCCUGUGAUUUGGCAGGUGGAAGGUCUAGCAGCAGGUCCGUUAGCCUUGGCUUUACAAACCUUCAUCUCCCUCCCAGGGGCCUGAGAUCAGGAGCUUUGCUGCAGCUCAGCAGCCUUCAUCAGUGGCUUCUCUUCAUCCAGCACAAUGGGGAGCUUCUCAGCUGACAGCUUUGCUUGGGGCAGAAUCACAAGCAGAUGAAAGGAGCUCAGCAGCUUCAGCUGAGGUUUGAAAUCCUGAUUGUUGUUGUGCGUACAAGAAGUAAAAUUGCCUGGUUUUACUUUUAUCAAUGAGAGCCUAAAAAUCAUCAUUAGAGGUCAGGGCCUCGCUCAGCUGGAUAUGGUAGACACGUAUUAUAUAAAAGUACAUUCUUUGCUCCUGAGAGUGUACAGCUCGGGCUUGUAGCAAGGCAAUGACUAAAGAUAAGAGUGAUUUGAAGUGAUUGCAGUAGGCAUAGUGAUGUGCUGAAUGCUUUUUACUUCCCCUUGCUGUGGUAGCGGCCACCCCAGCUGGUGUAACCGCAAUGUGACGCUCCCAAAGAGGUCAGCUUUUUAAACAGGGCGCAGUUUGCUCUGUGGGGUCACUUGUGUGAGGCAUUGCCACGAGGCCAUUGUUCCUCCCCACUAAGAUCUUCCUUGUUCUUUAGGUUGAGAUGCUUGCUGAAAGAUCCCAAUCUCCACACAAGUCAAACAGCUGGAUUGAUUUGUUGCUGGCCAGAUGUACCAUAGAGUUAAAAGAGUUGAUUUAUAACUCUAAUAAGUAAUGUUUCCUAUGUGGGUGUAUUCUAGUUGUGCAAGUUCUGAACUUUGAUGUUUGAAAAGAAGAGGUAUCACUGAAAAGUAGUUAGUGUAGCGAUCUGUAACAAUGCUGUCCUUUCAUUUGAGGGCUGCUACAGGGUAGUAAUAAGAUCACAGCAGUCCUGGGUUCCCAGUGAAACCAGUGAACGGAAAUGGCAAGGAGAGAUGGAACAAAAGUAGCUGACCCACCAAUUAAUUAGUCUUCCAAACUGUGGCAGCUAUUUUCUUCUCAAACUAAUUACUCCGAAAGAGCCUCAGUGGGCUGUUGACUCCUUGGCAUUCAGUAACACCACUGAACUGUGAAGAUGUGGAACAGAAAACCUUGAAGCAAGACAAUAAAAAGCAGCUUGAAAACAAUGCUCUUGAAAGCCUUAUCUGUGAAAUACCGUUUGCACGCUUAAAUUUCAGCUUAAGUCUUAUAAAGUUGUUGGAGCCGUUGGGAUUGCUUACAUGCUUGACAGGCUGCUGGUGUUGUCUAUGUUUUUCUUUUGAAGACAAUCAUCUUGCUGCCACAGAGGUGUCAGAAUCUGUCUCUGGACCCGGAAUUGGUGCGGAGCUGUUCUGGAGCCGCUGAACAGCUUUCCCAGGAUACCACUUCCUUACCUAGUGUGGACCAGCACCAGGGUGUCUCCACAGCUUCCUUAGAGCUGUUCCGGUUGGCAUCCAUCAAGGACAUGGCCCCAGCACUCAGGUGAUGCUGCUUUUAAUUCAGUAAAAUUCUGCAACUCCUUGAUGUUUUUCAGAGGAAAAAGAAAAAAAUCUUUGAUAUCUUGGGUUAGGAACCCAAGAAACAGGGGUUCACCCAAUCAUUGUCAGUAAAACAGAGGGAAUGGUUCCUCCUGUUGUGAUGAGUGUCACGGAAAUCCAAUAAAUGUUAAACCAUCUUUUCUGGACAUCAGUUUUUCUACUUGCACAUGCUUCAAUGUUGGUGCUUACUAAAUAGCUAAGACUCUAGUAAUUUAGCCUCAGCAGAAAGCUGCAUCCUGGGUUUCUGUGAAUAGGAUGCUAUUAGCUUCCAGUGAUGGCCAUGCAAAUCCGUCAUGACGGGGCAGGUCCAGGGUGAAGCCAGGUCAGUAAGGCAAGGCCGGGAUCAGCGAGGGCCAUGGCUGGGCACAGGCAUGCCCAUGCGGGUAUGCAAGCUUUACAAGGGCCCCAGCCUAAGUGCCAAGGUGGGGAGGCCCCAGACUGGGCUUCUCCCAGCUCCUUCUCACUCUGCUCCUUCUGCGUCACUCAGCUCCAAGGUUACUCAGCUGCACCGUAUCAGAGCUGACCUUGAACACAGGCGGCCAUGCACCUGCAAGGAGGGGGAAGAGGUUGCAGAGCCUGUUCCUGCUCCCAGGACCCUGACAUUUUCUGAGGCUGGAGCUAGAGAGUGCUGUUUUUUCCACUGCUAAUCUUAUCUCAUUACCAUGGUGAUAGAUGCAUUUUCUGCACAGGAUUUUCUUUCUCAAGGGGGGAAGAGAUGAUGCAAAGGAGAGCUCUGGUCCGAGCCUAGGGUCAUAGCCACUUCAGCCAUACAUUGCAAAUAAGGGAAGUAUCAGCACCAAGAACUCCUCAAAGGGAAGUUUGUGUGGGUGUUGUAUUAUUCUCUCUGAAUUUUUGCUCGAUACUGAUUUUUAUAUCUAUCUGAUAUUAAUAAAUCCCUGCUAACAGCACUGACGUCAAUUGAGUAUGGCUUUGUAUCUGUGCAAUUAAGGGAGACAUCUGGCAUCUUUAAAAGAAACAUGAGGGAAGUGUAUUUCCCCAGGAGAAUCCCGUUCCUGUGUUGUCAGGGAAUUGUUAAUAAAUUAUUAAUUAAUAAUCACUCUGAUGGACAAAGUUACAGGUAUACAAAUUGCGAACAGAGUAGUUCACAUAGGAAAAGACUAAAUAAAGAAGGAAAAGGCUAAAUAAAAAGACUAAGGGUUUUUCACGUGGUCUCUGAGGCUGUGAAACCUGGAUUUAAAGGC